CCUACGGGCGGCAGCAGUGGGGAAUAUUGCACAAUGGGCGCAAGCCUGAUGCAGCCAUGCCGCGUGUGUGAAGAAGGCCUUCGGGUUGUAAAGCACUUUCAGCGGGGAGGAAGGCGUUAAGGUUAAUAACCCUGUCGAUUGACGUUACCCGCAGAAGAAGCACCGGCUAACUCCGUGCCAGCAGCCGCGGUAAUACGGAGGGUGCAAGCGUUAAUCGGAAUUACUGGGCGUAAAGCGCACGCAGGCGGUCUGUCAAGUCGGAUGUGAAAUCCCCGGGCUCAACCUGGGAACUGCAUUCGAAACUGGCAGGCUAGAGUCUUGUAGAGGGGGGUAGAAUUCCAGGUGUAGCGGUGAAAUGCGUAGAGAUCUGGAGGAAUACCGGUGGCGAAGGCGGCCCCCUGGACAAAGACUGACGCUCAGGUGCGAAAGCGUGGGGAGCAAACAGGAUUAGAUACCCUUGUAGUC
rnacentral:rRNA from 1 species